AUUGAACGCUGGCGGCAGGCCUAACACAUGCAAGUCGAGCGGAUGAAGGGAGCUUGCUCCUGGAUUCAGCGGCGGACGGGUGAGUAAUGCCUAGGAAUCUGCCUGGUAGUGGGGGAUAACGUCCGGAAACGGGCGCUAAUACCGCAUACGUCCGAGGGAGAAAGUGGGGGAUCUUCGGACCUCACGCUAUCAGAUGAGCCUAGGUCGGAUUAGCUAGUUGGUGGGGUAAAGGCCUACCAAGGCGACGAUCCGUAACUGGUCUGAGAGGAUGAUCAGUCACACUGGAACUGAGACACGGUCCCGACUCCUAAGGGAGGCAGCAGUGGGGAAUAUUGGACAAUGGGCGAAAGCCUGAUCCAGCCAUGCCGCGUGUGUGAAGAAGGUCUUCGGAUUGUAAAGCACUUUAAGUUGGGAGGAAGGGCAGUAAGUUAAUACCUUGCUGUUUUGACGUUACCAACAGAAUAAGCACCGGCUAACUUCGUG
rnacentral:rRNA from 1 species